UGCACCACACGCACCACACCACACACACACACAUACACACACACGAGCAGAGCAAGGGACAGCCAUGUUGUGUGAUCUGGGAGGGUGGCUCAUCCUCUCUGAGUUGUUUAUAAACCGGGCGGGACCCAGGCCUGCCAAUCAAAGGCCUGAUCUGAAUGCUCUUAUUGGUUCAGAGAUGGACAUGUGACCCUCUCUUGGCCAAUCAGAGGCUUUCCUGCUGGAAGGGCUGCUGGAAGCCAUCUUCGCACGGUUCUUCCCUUGGCUUUAGAGCCCCGAAGCGCUCUUUGACUUGAGCUGCUUUGCAUUCUCUCUGUCCUGCCAUCGAGAAAGUUCUGAGCGGCUCAGAAGUAAUACUGACACUAUCAACGGAGGGGGACUGCAGUUUCGCUGGUGGCCCCACAGCCCCCUGCCUCCAGCCAGGGGACAAAGAACAGGAGGGAUCCAGAGGUGAGAGAGGAGGUGCACAGUAGCUGCAGGGCCGGACCCUGAUGAAGGGAGAUGCUGUCCCACACGGAGCCCCUGCCAGCCCCCAGAUCACCAAGGCUGGAGCCCCCCAGUGACUCUGCUGGUCACGUCUGUGGGAUCCCUGCUCACCCCUCUGUCCUCACCCCUUCCCUCUCCCCCUGGCCACCUGCAGCCUCCUCCUGCCUGCUCAGCCGUGGGUCUCUUUCCCUCUGAUCCACUCACCAUGGGACCGCCAGGCAGCUCCCAAAUCCAAACAUGACCAUGAGCUGCCCCGGCUUGAAACCCAAGCAUGACCCCCUGUCACAGGCUGGACCAAGUCCUGAGUUCCUAAACCACCUUCAGGGCUGCCUGCACCUGCACCUCCCGCUCCUGCUGUGCCCUGAUCCCAUGUGCUGGGUGAACUGGGUUCUUCCGAGCCCUCCAGCCCUGGAUGCUAACCCCAGAGCUGCAAGCUAUCCCUCCGAGGAAUUCUGCCCCAGACAGCAGAGAGAUGGGGGGCAGGGGACACAUGGCCAUGAGGACAGAGAGCCCUGAGAGGGACUGGGGAAUCGAGACAUCGUUUUCAAAUAAUUGCAGCAAUCAAGAGAGACUGUACAUCCCAUCCCAGACAAAGGGAGACCUAAAAUGAGAGAAUGGAGCUGGGCGCAGUGGUUCACGCCUG
rnacentral:lncRNA from 1 species